rnacentral:rRNA from 1 species
UGAGGAAUAUUGGCCAAUGGGCGGAAGCCUGAACCAGCCAUCCCGCGUGAAGGAAGAAGGCCUUAUGGGUUGUAAACUUCUUUUCUGUUUGAAGAAUAAGCUUGUCGUGACAAGUGAUGCCGGUAGGACAGGAAUAAGCAUCAGCUAACUCCGUGCCAGCAGCCGCGGUAAUACGGAGGAUGCAAGCGUUAUCCGGAUUUAUUGGGUUUAAAGGGUGCGCAGGUGGUUUAAUAAGUCAGUGGUGAAAGUCUGCCGCUUAACGGUAGGAUUGCCAUUGAUACUGUUGGACUUGAAUAUGGAUGAGGUAGGCGGAAUGUGUAGUGUAGCGGUGAAAUGCUUAGAUAUUACACAGAACACCGAUUGCGAAGGCAGCUUACUAAUCCAUGAUUGACGCUGAGGCACGAAAGCGUGGGGAUCAAACAG